rnacentral:rRNA from 1 species
GACGAACGCUGGCGGCGUGCUUAACACAUGCAAGUCGAGCGGUAAGGCCCUUUCGGGGGUACGACGAGCGGCGAACGGGUGGAGUAACACGUGGGUGACCUCGCCCUCCAGCUCUGGGAGUAAGCCGUGGGAACCGGGUACUAAUACCGGAUAUGACUCCAUGACGCAUGUUGUGGGGUGGAAAGCCUUGUGCGGCUGAGGAUGGGCCCGCGGCCUAUCAGCUUGUUGGUGGGGUGAUGGCCUACCAAGGCGACGACGGGUAGCCGGCCUGAGAGGGCGACCGG